rnacentral:lncRNA from 1 species
UUUACACAUUUUCAUGAUAAAAAUUAUACGUUUCAACAAUAUGAUAGAUUUUUGGUGAAUGUUCUAAUAUCAUUGUUUGUUUGCAAUGAUAUAAUAUCAAUGAGUGUGCAUUUAGUUUGGUAUUAAGUUUGAUCCCAUUCUAGGACAAGUUCGGGCAUUAUGACCAUUCUAAUAGCAAAAACCACCACUACACAUGGACGAAUCCAAGGAAACGCAUAGUAUGGCCUUAUUUCAAUUUCCUUCCUUUAUGGUGCCAUUUUAGUAAAAUAAACAAUA